AUACGUAGGGGGCGAGCGUUGUCCGGAAUGAUUGGGCGUAAAGGGCGCGUAGGCGGCCCGGUAAGUCUGGAGUGAAAGUCCUGUUUUUAAGAUGGGAAUUGCUUUGGAUACUGUCGGGCUUGAGUGCAGGAGAGGUAAGUGGAAUUCCCAGUGUAGCGGUGAAAUGCGUAGAGAUUGGGAGGAACACCAGUGGCGAAGGCGACUUACUGGGCUGUAACUGACGCUGAGGCGCGAAAGCGUGGGGAGCGAACAGGAUUAGAUACCCUGGUAGUCCACGCUGUAAACGAUGAAUGCUAGGUGUAGGGGGUAUCGACCCCUCCUGUGCCGGAGUAAACGCAAUAAGCAUUCCGCCUGGGGAGUACGGCCGCAAGGUUGAAACUCAAAGGAAUUGACGGGG
rnacentral:rRNA from 1 species